rnacentral:misc_RNA from 1 species
GUGCGAUAAGUAGUGUGAAUUGCAGAAUUCCGUGAAUCAUCGAAUCUUUGAACGCAAAUUGCACUCUCUGGUAUUCCGGAGAGUAUGCCUGUUUGAGGGUCGGUUUAAAUAAAUUAAUCGACAUGCUCAUUUUGCGGCAUGCCGGAAUUGAGUUUUUCUUAACCCGUUUGAGGUUUAAGUGACUUAAAAUUCAAUUAAAAUCAUCCUUCGGUAUGAUUACGUACAUAAUAAUUUUUGUCGUUUGAGUGUUGAAGGUAACUUAUUAGGCGUGACCAUUCUAAUGGGAUUUCGCGUCUAUAAUUUUUCGAGUAACGACCUCAAAUCAGGUAAGAGUACCCGCUGAACUUAA